rnacentral:tRNA from 1 species
GCCUGGGUGGCUCAGUCCGUUAAGUGUCUGACUUCAGCUCAGGUCAUGAUCUCACGGUUUGUGGGUUCGAGCCCCGCAUCGGGCU